rnacentral:rRNA from 1 species
UACAGAGGGUGCGAGCGUUAAUCGGAAUUACUGGGCGUAAAGCGCGCGCAGGCGGCCUUUUAAGUCUGAUGUGAAAGCCCACGGCUCAACCGUGGAAGGUCAUUGGAAACUGGAAGGCUUGAGUACAGAAGAGGAAAGCGGAAUUCCACGUGUAGCGGUGAAAUGCGUAGAGAUGUGGAGGAACACCAGUGGCGAAGGCGGCUUUCUGGUCUGUAACUGACGCUGAGGCGCGAAAGCGUGGGGAGCAAACAGG